UGUCUGGGUGCUGUAUACAGAGGGAUUAUAUAUAUAUAUAUAUAUAUAUAUAUAUAUAUACUGUGUGUAUGUUUAUACCAGAUACCCAGCUGUAUAUACUGUACCACAUGUGGGCGCAGUAUACAGAGCUGUAUAUACUACAUCACAUGUGGGCGCAGUAUACAGAGCUGUAUAUACUGUAUCACGUGUGGGCGCAGUAUACCGAGCUGUAUAUACUGUAUCACGUGUGUUCAGGUACUGUAUAUAGAGCUGUAUACACUGUACCACGUGUGGGCGCAAGCUGUACAUACUGUACUGGGUGCAUCUGGGCGCAGUAUACAGAGCUGUGUAUAUACGGUCCUG